GUGCCAGCCGCCGCGGUAAUACGGAGGGGGUUAGCGUUGUUCGGAAUUACUGGGCGUAAAGCGCGCGUAGGCGGAUCGGAAAGUUGGGGGUGAAAUCCCGGGGCUCAACCCCGGAACUGCCUCCAAAACUACUGGUCUUGAGUUCGAGAGAGGUGAGUGGAAUUCCGAGUGUAGAGGUGAAAUUCGUAGAUAUUCGGAGGAACACCAGUGGCGAAGGCGGCUCACUGGCUCGAUACUGACGCUGAGGUGCGAAAGUGUGGGGAGCAAACAGGAUUAGAUACCCUGGUAGUCC
rnacentral:rRNA from 1 species